GCAAGUCGAGCGGACGUUUUUGACGCUUGCUUCAAAAACGUUAGCGGCGGACGGGUGAUUAACACGUGGGCAACCUCCCUUAUCGACUGGGAUAACUCCGGGAAACCGGGGCUAAUACCGGAUAACAUCUAGCAUCUCCUGGCGCAAGAUUAAAAAGAGGGCCUUUUGGCUCUCACGAUGAGAUGGGCCCGCGGCGCAUUAGCUAGUUGGAGAGGUAAUGGCUCCCCAAGGCGACGAUGCGUAGCCGACCUGAGAGGGUGAUC
rnacentral:rRNA from 1 species